rnacentral:lncRNA from 1 species
UGGGCAGACUUUUAGCGGCUUACUUAGAUCACCUAAAGGCUAUUAGCACUUUUAAUUGCAUAUGCACACUGACAAGAUAAAAUAGGUACUGAUUAUAAGGCCAACUGAAGAUUCAGUUAUCAUUUAAAAUUGAUGAUUAAUAUACACUCCAAUCAAAAGUUUGAAUUUGAGGAAAUAGCUACUUACCUAAAAUAAAAGUGUAAAACACAGAGUAUAUAUCACACCCUUGACC